GUGGCGGCCCGCUUCCGCCGCGCCCGCGCCCGCGCCCGGUGGGCUGCCGCAGAGCCUGCGGGACCCCAGCGGCUUCGGGGACGCCAGGGGUGUUAACAUCCGCGGUUAAGGGGGCGGUACUUGUUCCUGUCGAGGCAAAUAAAGCCCGAGAAGGGGAACGCGAGGGCGGGAAGAUAAGGUUUUAUCAGCUCGUGGCUACCCAGAGAACUUUUGAAUCAGAGGAGCUAGGCGCCAACAGAUUUUGCUGUCCUGCCUCCUGCCCCGCCCCCCCCCCCGCCCCCGUUUUUUAGGGAAGGAGACCUCGACACUUCUACACCACUUUUUCUAGACAAAUCUCAGUGCUCCAGAGAUAACUCUGAGAACAGAGAAGUCAUCUAGUUUUAAGAAAAACCGGAUCGCCAGAUCUUCCGCGAUACUCAUUUCGGAAACCACGGUGAUCUGAUUUGAGCAAUACGGUGAGGUCUCGUCCCCGUGGUUUGUGUUGUGUCAUUUUGGAAAAGUUCAGAAUCAAGUUACUAGAAUUGGAACGUUUAGGUAUUCCAGUUUAGUCUUCUCGAGUAUAAAUACAUUUUUUAAAAAGGGGCCCAGAGAGUGAAGUGAUUUGGUCAAACGGUUAAGGAAAGCUAGAGGAAGAGGAGAAGGAGGGGAGAGAUGGAGCCACGAGGGAAGACUGGCAAAUGGAACUUGACAUUUUUUAAUACCAAAGGCAAGGGUUUCAGAGUUUCUUCUUUAGGAAUCAGUAGGAUUUGUCCAAUAGGACACAUGUCACCGAAAUCGACAAGCAGAACAUGAUGAAAUUAUACAAAUUCUAUAUUCUACAGAAAUGCCUAGGUAUAUUAAGGUACAAUCUGAUUUGCAUACACCUUUGAAAGUCUGAUCACGUGCUGCCUGGCCCCUUGAAAACUCCAAGGCCGAGAUUUCCAGCGAACUCUAGCCAGAGCCAGACUUUCCCCAGCCAUUGUAUGGACUCCAAGGGGAACUCAUCCAGCACCCUCCCCGACCCCUCUGCAAAUUCUUUCUUCUUGUGUAGAUGAAUGCUCACAUCACGUGUCUUCCUUUUGCUGUAUUUUCUGACAAGUACCAUUCAGAUGUCGAAACUGAGGCUCAAACAAAUGACAUGGCAGAGACAAGGUUCCAAAGGCCAGGACUGUGCCCACUGCACCCCAAAGGGAAGAAGGAGGUCAGCUCAGUAGGAAGCCUAAGGCUAGUAGACCGAAGGACCUCUCACACCUUGCCUCCCAGGGGCCUACUUAGUGUCUGAUCUACAGGACAUGCUUUUUAAAUGGUUGUUGACUGUUCCUGUUCUCUCCACCUAAGACUCCUGUGACAUCAGGCUGUUGCUGCACUGACUGUCAUUUCACCUGCUUUGCUUCCUUACGGCUCAUCCGUGCAAGCUGAGAGAGAAAACGGAAGACCUUCAGAGGUCUGUCAUCCUUCAGGUCUGAGAGACAGCCAUGGAAAAC